rnacentral:rRNA from 1 species
GCUCCAAUAGCGUAUAUUAAAGUUGUUGCAGUUAAAAAGCUCGUAGUUGAAAUUCUGACCGUAUUGGGCCACGCACUCGAUGCGAAGGUACCAGCGGUCAUCCGCUUGCAAAAACAGAACCUUCCUUAACCGGUAGGCUGUCUGAGCAGGCAUUUUACCUUGAGAAAAACAGAGUGUUCCAGGCAGGUUUGUCCGGAAUG